rnacentral:rRNA from 1 species
UACGAAGGGGGCUAGCGUUGCUCGGAAUCACUGGGCGUAAAGGGUGCGUAGGCGGGUCUUUAAGUCAGGGGUGAAAUCCUGGAGCUCAACUCCAGAACUGCCUUCGAUACUGGCGAUCUCGAGUCCGGAAGAGGUGAGUGGAACUCCUAGUGUAGAGGUGGAAUUCGUAGAUAUUAGGAAGAACACCAGUGGCGAAGGCGGCUCACUGGUCCGGUACUGACGCUGAGGUGGCGAAAGCGUGGGAGCAAACAGG